GCGGGAAUAGCUCAGUGGUAGAGCAUCAGCUUCCCAAGCUGAGGGUCGCGGGUUCGACCCCCGUUUCCCGCU
rnacentral:tRNA from 1 species